UUUUUUUCUAAAAACAUCUUAGACACAACUGGGUAAUCCCUAAAUCCUGGAAUGUUAGGGGGUACUUGAGGACUGGGUUGGGAACCACUGCUGUAGAUCAUGUAAGUAGGAUACCUACUUUUUACUACCCCUGAUCAUUGGCUUUUAUACUGUGAUAUUGGAUAUGUCACCUUUUGUUUCCACGUUUUGCAUUGCUUUGAAAACACCAUUGGAAUUUAUAUCCUGAG